UACAGAAGGUGCAAACGUUGUUCGGAAUUACUGGGCGUAAAGCGCGUGUAGGCUGCUUCGAAAGUCGGAUGUGAAAGCCCUGGGCUCAACCUAGGAAGUGCAUUCGAAACUUCGAAGCUUGAGUUCUGGAGAGGAAGGCGGAAUUCUCGGUGUAGAGGUGAAAUUCGUAGAUAUCGAGAGGAACACCGGUGGCGAAGGCGGCCUUCUGGACAGUGACUGACGCUGAGACGCGAAAGCGUGGGGAGCAAACAGG
rnacentral:rRNA from 1 species